UACGGAGGGCGCACGCGUUGUUCGGAAUUACUGGGCGUAAAGGGCGUGUAGGCGGUCUGGUAAGUCGGUUGUGAAAUCCCCGGGCUCAACCCGGGAACUGCAUCCGAAACUGCUGGGCUAGAGUUCCGGAGAGGAAGGCAGAAUUCCCAAUGUAGGGGUGAAAUCCGUAGAUAUUGGGAGGAAUACCAGUGGCGAAGGCGGCCUUCUGGACGGUGACUGACGCUGAGACGCGAAAGCGUGGGGAGCAAACAGG
rnacentral:rRNA from 1 species